rnacentral:rRNA from 1 species
CAGUCGCCGCGGGAAUACGUAGGUGGCGAGCGUUGUCCGGAAUUAUUGGGCGUAAAGGGAGCGCAGGCGGACAUAUAAGUCCAUCUUAAAAGUGCGGGGCUCAACCCCGUGAGGGGAUGGAAACUGUAUGCCUUGAGUGCAGGAGAGGAAAGCGGAAUUCCCAGUGUAGCGGUGAAAUGCGUAGAUAUUGGGAGGAACACCAGUGGCGAAGGCGGCUUUCUGGACUGUAACUGACGCUGAGGCUCGAAAGCCAGGGGAGCGAACGGGAUUAGAUACCCCUGUAGUCCCUGUCUCUUAUACC